GACGAACGCUGGCGGCGUGCCUAAUACAUGCAAGUAGAACGCACAGUUUAUACCGUAGCUUGCUACACCAUAGACUGUGAGUUGCGAACGGGUGAGUAACGCGUAGGUAACCUGCCUGGUAGCGGGGGAUAACUAUUGGAAACGAUAGCUAAUACCGCAUAAUAUUAAUUAUUGCAUGAUAAUUAAUUGAAAGGUGCAAUUGCACCACUACCAGAUGGACCUGCGUUGUAUUAGCUAGUAGGUGAGGUAACGGCUCACCUAGGCGACGAUACAUAGCCGACCUGAGAGGGUGAUCGGCCACACUGGGACUGAGACACGGGCCAGACUCCUACGGGAGGCAGCAGUAGGGAAACUUCGGAAAUGGACGAAAGUCUGACCGAGCAACGCCGCGUGAGUGAAGAAGGUUUUCGGAUCGUAAAGCUCUGUUGUAAGAGAAGAACGGGUGUGAGAGUGGAAAGUUCACACUGUGACGGUAUCUGACCAGAAAGGGACGGCUAACUACGUG
rnacentral:rRNA from 1 species